rnacentral:rRNA from 1 species
CCUACGGGAGGCAGCAGUGAGGAAUAUUGGUCAAUGGGCUUACGCCUGAACCAGCCAAGCCGCGUGAGGGAAGACUGCCCUAUGGGUUGUAAACCUCUUUUGUCAGGGAGCAACGCCGGCUACGUGUAGCCGGACUGAGAGUAACUGAAGAAAAAGCAUCGGCUAACUCAGUGCCAGCAGCCGCGGUCAUACGGAGGAUGCGAGCGUUAUCGGGAUUGAUUGGGUUUAAGGGGUGCGUAGGCGGAAUGCCAAGUCAGCGGUAAAACCCAGGGGCGCAACCUCGAUCCGCCGUUGAAACUGGCGUUCUUGAGUGGGCGAGAGGUAUGCGGAAUGCGUGGUGUAGCGGUGAAAUGCAUAGAUAUCACGCAGAACUUCGAUGGCGAAGGCAGCAUACCGGCGCCCAACUGACGCUGGAGCACGAAAGCGUGGGUAUCGAACAGGAUUAGAUACCCGGGUAGUC